CAGCCGUAAACAAUGUGCGUUAGGUGUGUCGGUAACCACGUGUUACUGAUGCGCCGAAGAGAAAUCGUGAAACGCACCACCUGGGAAGUACGGUCGCAAGGCUGAAACUUAAGGAAUUGGCGGGGAGCACCACAACAGGUGGAGCCUGCGGUUUAAUUGGAUUCAACGCCGGACAUCUCACCGGAUAAGACAGCUGAAUGAUUGUCAAUCUGAAGGUUUUACAUGACUAGCUGAGAGGAGUGCAUGGCGUAGACGUCU
rnacentral:rRNA from 1 species